rnacentral:rRNA from 1 species
GACGAACCGUCCUAACGUUGUUCGGAAUCACUGGGCUUAAAGGGCGCGUAGGCGGGUUCCCAAGUCGGUGGUGAAAUCUUUCGGCCCAACCGGAAAACAGCCGCCGAUACUGGGAGUCUUGAGGGAGGUAGGGGUCGAUGGAACUUCCGGUGGAGCGGUGAAAUGCGUAGAUAUCGGAAGGAACACCAGUGGCGAAGGCGGCUACCUGGCCUAAUACUGACACUGAGGCACGAAAGCGUGGGGAGCAAACAGG